UUAAGCGACUAAGCGUACACGGUGGAUGCCCUGGCAGUCAGAGGCGAUGAAGGACGUGCUAAUCUGCGAUAAGCGUCGGUAAGGUGAUAUGAACCGUUAUAACCGGCGAUUUCCGAAUGGGGAAACCCAGUGUGUUUCGACACACUAUCAUUAACUGAAUCCAUAGGUUAAUGAGGCGAACCGGGGGAACUGAAACAUCUAAGUACCCCGAGGAAAAGAAAUCAACCGAGAUUCCCCCAGUAGCGGCGAGCGAACGGGGAGGAGCCCAGAGCCUGAAUCAGUGUGUGUGUUAGUGGAAGCGUCUGGAAAGGCGCGCGAUACAGGGUGACAGCCCCGUACACAAAAAUGCACAUGCUGUGAGCUCGAUGAGUAGGGCGGGACACGUGGUAUCCUGUCUGAAUAUGGGGGGACCAUCCUCCAAGGCUAAAUACUCCUGACUGACCGAUAGUGAACCAGUACCGUGAGGGAAAGGCGAAAAGAACCCCGGCGAGGGGAGUGAAAAAGAACCUGAAACCGUGUACGUACAAGCAGUGGGAGCACAGAGCAAUCUGUGUGACUGCGUACCUUUUGUAUAAUGGGUCAGCGACUUAUAUUCUGUAGCAAGGUUAACCGAAUAGGGGAGCCGAAGGGAAACCGAGUCUUAACCGGGCGUUAAGUUGCAGGGUAUAGACCCGAAACCCGGUGAUCUAGCCAUGGGCAGGUUGAAGGUUGGGUAACACUAACUGGAGGACCGAACCGACUAAUGUUGAAAAAUUAGCGGAUGACUUGUGGCUGGGGGUGAAAGGCCAAUCAAACCGGGAGAUAGCUGGUUCUCCCCGAAAGCUAUUUAGGUAGCGCCUCGUGAAUUCAUCUCCGGGGGUAGAGCACUGUUUCGGCAAGGGGGUCAUCCCGACUUACCAACCCGAUGCAAACUGCGAAUACCGGAGAAUGUUAUCACGGGAGACACACGGCGGGUGCUAACGUCCGUCGUGAAGAGGGAAACAACCCAGACCGCCAGCUAAGGUCCCAAAGUCAUGGUUAAGUGGGAAACGAUGUGGGAAGGCCCAGACAGCCAGGAUGUUGGCUUAGAAGCAGCCAUCAUUUAAAGAAAGCGUAAUAGCUCACUGGUCGAGUCGGCCUGCGCGGAAGAUGUAACGGGGCUAAACCAUGCACCGAAGCUGCGGCAGCGACACUGUGUGUUGUUGGGUAGGGGAGCGUUCUGUAAGCCUGUGAAGGUGUACUGUGAGGUAUGCUGGAGGUAUCAGAAGUGCGAAUGCUGACAUAAGUAACGAUAAAGCGGGUGAAAAGCCCGCUCGCCGGAAGACCAAGGGUUCCUGUCCAACGUUAAUCGGGGCAGGGUGAGUCGACCCCUAAGGCGAGGCCGAAAGGCGUAGUCGAUGGGAAACAGGUUAAUAUUCCUGUACUUGGUGUUACUGCGAAGGGGGGACGGAGAAGGCUAUGUUGGCCGGGCGACGGUUGUCCCGGUUUAAGCGUGUAGGCUGGUUUUCCAGGCAAAUCCGGAAAAUCAAGGCUGAGGCGUGAUGACGAGGCACUACGGUGCUGAAGCAACAAAUGCCCUGCUUCCAGGAAAAGCCUCUAAGCAUCAGGUAACAUCAAAUCGUACCCCAAACCGACACAGGUGGUCAGGUAGAGAAUACCAAGGCGCUUGAGAGAACUCGGGUGAAGGAACUAGGCAAAAUGGUGCCGUAACUUCGGGAGAAGGCACGCUGAUAUGUAGGUGAAGUCCCUCGCGGAUGGAGCUGAAAUCAGUCGAAGAUACCAGCUGGCUGCAACUGUUUAUUAAAAACACAGCACUGUGCAAACACGAAAGUGGACGUAUACGGUGUGACGCCUGCCCGGUGCCGGAAGGUUAAUUGAUGGGGUCAGCGCAAGCGAAGCUCUUGAUCGAAGCCCCGGUAAACGGCGGCCGUAACUAUAACGGUCCUAAGGUAGCGAAAUUCCUUGUCGGGUAAGUUCCGACCUGCACGAAUGGCGUAAUGAUGGCCAGGCUGUCUCCACCCGAGACUCAGUGAAAUUGAACUCGCUGUGAAGAUGCAGUGUACCCGCGGCAAGACGGAAAGACCCCGUGAACCUUUACUAUAGCUUGACACUGAACAUUGAGCCUUGAUGUGUAGGAUAGGUGGGAGGCUUUGAAGUGUGGACGCCAGUCUGCAUGGAGCCGACCUUGAAAUACCACCCUUUAAUGUUUGAUGUUCUAACGUGGACCCGUGAUCCGGGUUGCGGACAGUGUCUGGUGGGUAGUUUGACUGGGGCGGUCUCCUCCUAAAGAGUAACGGAGGAGCACGAAGGUUGGCUAAUCCUGGUCGGACAUCAGGAGGUUAGUGCAAUGGCAUAAGCCAGCUUGACUGCGAGCGUGACGGCGCGAGCAGGUGCGAAAGCAGGUCAUAGUGAUCCGGUGGUUCUGAAUGGAAGGGCCAUCGCUCAACGGAUAAAAGGUACUCCGGGGAUAACAGGCUGAUACCGCCCAAGAGUUCAUAUCGACGGCGGUGUUUGGCACCUCGAUGUCGGCUCAUCACAUCCUGGGGCUGAAGUAGGUCCCAAGGGUAUGGCUGUUCGCCAUUUAAAGUGGUACGCGAGCUGGGUUUAGAACGUCGUGAGACAGUUCGGUCCCUAUCUGCCGUGGGCGCUGGAGAACUGAGGGGGGCUGCUCCUAGUACGAGAGGACCGGAGUGGACGCAUCACUGGUGUUCGGGUUGUCAUGCCAAUGGCACUGCCCGGUAGCUAAAUGCGGAAGAGAUAAGUGCUGAAAGCAUCUAAGCACGAAACUUGCCCCGAGAUGAGUUCUCCCUGACCCUUUAAGGGUCCUGAAGGAACGUUGAAGACGACGACGUUGAUAGGCCGGGUGUGUAAGCGCAGCGAUGCGUUGAGCUAACCGGUACUAAUGAACCGUGAGGCUUAACCUU
rnacentral:rRNA from 1 species